AAUUAGCGGAGAUGUUCCCUGC
rnacentral:miRNA from 13 species